rnacentral:rRNA from 1 species
CCUACGGGUGGCUGCAGUAGGGAAUCUUCCACAAUGGGCGAAAGCCUGAUGGAGCAACGCCGCGUGGGUGAAGAAGGUCUUCGGAUCGUAAAACCCUGUUGUUAGAGAAGAAAGUGCGUGAGAGUAACUGUUCACGUUUCGACGGUAUCUAACCAGAAAGCCACGGCUAACUACGUGCCAGCAGCCGCGGUAAUACGUAGGUGGCAAGCGUUAUCCGGAUUUAUUGGGCGUAAAGGGAACGCAGGCGGUCUUUUAAGUCUGAUGUGAAAGCCUUCGGCUUAACCGGAGUAGUGCAUUGGAAACUGGGAGACUUGAGUGCAGAAGAGGAGAGUGGAACUCCAUGUGUAGCGGUGAAAUGCGUAGAUAUAUGGAAGAACACCAGUGGCGAAAGCGGCUCUCUGGUCUGUAACUGACGCUGAGGUUCGAAAGCGUGGGUAGCA